rnacentral:rRNA from 1 species
GACGAACGCUGGCGGCGUGCUUAACACAUGCAAGUCGAGCGGUAAGGCCCUUUCGGGGGUACACGAGCGGCGAACGGGUGAGUAACACGUGGGUGACCUGCCCUCAGCUCUGGGAUAAGCCUGGGAAACCGGGUCUAAUACUGGAUAUGACUCCAUGACGCAUGUUGUGGGGUGGAAAGCCUUGUGCGGCUGAGGAUGGGCCCGCGGCUAUCAGCUUGUUGGUGGGGUGANGG